CAAAGGCUUGUUUAAAAAAAAAUCUGUUUUGCCUAUCUAAACCUCUCUAAAAGGAAGGAAAUAAAAUUUUGUAACUUUCCAAGAAGUGAAAACCAAUUAACAUUUUAAAGUCACAUUACACUCAUAACCUCUAAUACAUUAUUUUCAGAAGAGCCAUUUCUGCUGAGUCAGAAUAUAAAAUAGGAUUCAAAUACCUAUUUCCUUAAUAGAUUUAAAUGACUGUGACUAACAAUCUCAAUAUUUCUUGUUUUAUGGAAAAAUUUUAGUUUCUCAAGGAUCCCAUGGGGAUUGGACAUGAUGGUGUUUAAGGGCCUCUAACGAUCCCUGCCUUGGAUAUGUGUAGUCCCCUCCCACACUGCAUCAGGAUUGGUCUGUGAAUACGGCAGAAAUGAUGGGGAAGCCAGAUGCUGUGUUGUGAGGACAGUCAGGCAGCCCCAUGGAGAGGCCCAUGUGGCAAGGCAUUGAGGACUUCUGCCAAUAGCCAUAUGAAUGACCAUCUUGGAAGUAGGUGCUCCAGCCCUGGAUAAACCUUCAGAUGACUGCAGCCCCUGCUCAGAGCUUGACUGCAACCCCAUCAGAGACCCUGAGCCUGAGACACUCAGCUAAGUCACUCGGAGGUUUGCUUCAUCAGAAUCCAUAGGUUCUCAAGUGGCGCUCCUCCUUGUGCUCGCAGAACCCCGCUUAUUGACUCUACAGAUACUUUUUGCAGAAAAUGGCUGCCUCUUUGCUGUCUACUGUGACUCUUCAACUAGGAAAGAACCAAAUAGAUUUAACCUACUCAACUCGACACUUCUGAACAAAAAAGAAUGCAGAAUAUAUAGCACCAACCAGGUGGCAGACCUGAUCUCAAUCCCAGCUUUCUCCCUGUCCACUCCUGCUUCCUCCUCCCUUUAUCCUUCACAGGCUAAGCAUUAAACAUCAAGUAAGUAAACAUCAGGUCCCAUCUAAGCAUCGGCUUCUAUGAGCAUCUGAACGGACAUACGUACUCACUGUUAAAAAUGAGCAAAUCCAGAAGGGCAUAUACGAAGAAGCCACAGUUCCUCCCCUUAUUCUCUCCUGCCCUGCAUUUCCUCACAUGAGGAAACACUUUAAACAGUUUCUCUUAUAGCUCUUUGACAGUUAGUUCCAUACUCC
rnacentral:lncRNA from 10 species